rnacentral:lncRNA from 1 species
GACUUAAAAAAUUGGAUAAAUACAUAUAAAAAAAAUACACCAUAUCAAACCUACUUAAAUACAUAUAAAAAAAUACACUGAAGCUAGAUGAAGCCGAUAAAAUUACAGGGUUUGAUAGCAGUUUCCCCUUUUCUCUCUAGAAAUUUUUGGAUUCACUAAUUUUUAAAUCAAAUUUAUGUGAAAAUCAAACCAUUUUUUUAGAAAAAAAGACGAUUAACACUACAAACAAACCUCAACUUUAUCUUUCUGGGAUUGAUUAUGGGAAAGAUACCGUAACUCCUUAUCCAAGAUGAGAGGCAAAAGCUGACGUUUUUUUUUCUUUUGGCCUGACUUGGGAUCUCAUUGGCCUUUUGACCAGCUUUUCUUGAACGAAAAUUUGACCUGAAUCUACAGAUGAGUAAUGGACCUCGACGCUUGAUUUCUCUUCACCGUCUACUCCACUCCAUGCUGAAUCACCACAUAAUACUCCCUCUUCUUCAAUAAUCCCGACACCUUUAUCAUCACAGAACCGUAGCCUCAGGUUAAGGUCGAUUCCCAGACCAUUUUUCUGACGAUAAAUCGUGUUUCCGGCCACUGAGCCUUAAAUUUCAGGGAGCUUGAUUCUUCGAAGAAAUUUUCAGGUUGUGUUAAAUUCUCUGAACGAGAAGAAGAUCCAGCCAGCAAAAUGGUGCUUAUGAUCUUUCUCAGGUGCGUUUGAGCACUGGAGUGGCCUUUGAUGAAAGAAAUACAGGAAUCGGCACCAGAAACCAAGAACUAAGCGGAUGAAGAUCUUACCUUUCUCUGAUGGAUAUUUUCCUCCAUUUUUCGUACACCUCACUCCUUGAUCGAACGCUUCGUCUUAGGUUUGGAGACUCUGGUUUAUUCGCAGAAGUUGGUUUCUUCAAAAGCGGUUUUUUCAAGUGGUUUUUUAAGGCCGCCAUAAAGUUUCAGAUAAUAGUUUCCUUAAGAGAUAGAAAUCGAUGGAGAGAGAGAGAAAGUUCUUCACAGAAUGAGAAAGAGAUCUUCACACGCAGAGAGAGAUCAUCACAGAGAGAUAGUAGUUACCCUCUCUCUAAUUUCGCAGACGUUUUUUUGGACUCGUUUUAUUCGUUUUUCA